rnacentral:rRNA from 1 species
GUAGGUGGCAAGCGUUGUCCGGAAUUAUUGGGCGUAAAGCGCGCGCAGGCGGUUCUUUAAGUCUGAUGUGAAAGCCCACGGGCUCAACCGUGGAGGGUCAUUGGAAACUGGAGAACCUUGAGUACAGAAGAGGAAAGCGGAAUUCCACGUGUAGCGGUGAAAUGCGUAGAGAUGUGGAGGAACACCAGCGGCGAAGGCGGCUUUCUGGUCUGUAACUGACGCUGAGGCGCGAAAGCGUGGGGAGCAAACAGGAUUAGAUACCCUGGUAGUCCACGCCGUAAACGAUGAGUGCUAAGUGUUAGGGGGUUUCCGCCCCUUAGUGCUGCAGCUAACGCAUUAAGCACUCCGCCUGGGGAGUACGGCCGCAAGGCUG